GAAUCUUUCUGGAGCCAAAUAUUUUACAAUCUACUAAGCUGAAUCUGCUACCUGCCAGCUUUGGUUGCUCGGAGCGGAGCUUCCGAGAGUGUCAGGUUGAUCAGCGGCAACUUUCUUGCUAGGAUGGCCGCAUUUGAUCUCUGCGAAGUGCGUGCUGGAGCUCAAUAACUUGCAGCCUCUGUUCGAUCGGCAACGAGUUAAGUUGUUCGGGAGUUAGAUUCAAAACUUGUUGCAAGAGUACAGACUCGACGUUGUGGGGAAGCAAUGAAGUUGGUUUCUCAGAGAGUUGCGUUCCCGCCAGAUUGGGAUCUGAGGCAAUUCCAAGUUGUCCAGAUCCAUUGAUACCUAUUGAUGCACUUAGACCUCCG
rnacentral:misc_RNA from 1 species